UACGAAGGGUGCAAGCGUUACUCGGAAUCACUGGGCGUAAAGCGUGCGUAGGCGGUUCGUUAAGUCUGCUGUGAAAGCCCUGGGCUCAACCUCGGGGAACUGCAGUGGAUACUGGCGGACUAGAGUGUGAUAGAGGAUGGUGGAAUUCCCGGUGUAGCGGUGAAAUGCGUAGAGAUCGGGAGGAACACCAGUGGCGAAGGCGGCCAUC
rnacentral:rRNA from 1 species